UUGUUCUGCUUCCACCAGAACUCUCCAUGCCCUCCUGGCAUAGUCCACUGCUGCUUCCCCUGGUGCGCGAACUGUCAGGAGCAUCGUGAAAGGAAAGGCCGCCUCGCAGAAAGCAGUGUUGUUCCAAUGACCAUUAUCAACCCGCCGCCGCUGCAAGAGAUGAGCAUGGUCGAGAACAACGCUCCCACAUCCGACAAUGAAGCUUCGAAGGCCGAGCAUGAUGAUGUGGAGGUCAUACCUCUCUAGGAAAGAUAAGCAUGAGAACUGAAACUGACAUGGAAUCUGCUAGCCCAUUUAGAGACUACCAUAUAUUGUUAAUAAUCACUGUCAUCUGCCAGGUACCGUAUGAAACAUUGGGCUGAUCCAGAUUUUAGUUUAUGACCAUUACUACCUAUGAUAGAUUGUUGACCGUGGGCAUAUAAUAUAUGUGUGGAGACCAUUACUACCUAUGAUAGAGUGUUGCCCGCGGGCAUAUAAUAUAUAUGUGUGGAGACCAUUACUACCUAUGAUAGAAUGUUGCCCGCGGGCAUAUAAUAUAUGUGUGGAUAUAUUUAUAUUUGUGAUUGGUAUGUCCUAUGUUCUAUCCACAUUAUGCAUUGCCUGUGUUCUUGACUUCUCGUUCAUGAACGUUAAGGCCUGUUUUGGUUCAAAGGAUAGGAAUAUCAUAGAAAUAGAAAAGAGAUGUCAUAC
rnacentral:lncRNA from 1 species